rnacentral:rRNA from 1 species
GCACAAGCGGUGGAGCAUGUGGCUUAAUUCGAGGCAACGCGAAGAACCUUACCUGGGUUUGACAUGCAGGGAAAUCUCCCAGAGAUGGGAGGUCCGCAAGGGCCUUGCACAGGUGGUGCAUGGCUGUCGUCAGCUCGUGUCGUGAGAUGUUGGGUUAAGUCCCGCAACGAGCGCAACCCUCGUCCUAUGUUGCCAGCGGUUCGGCCGGGGACUCAUAGGAGACUGCCGGGGUCAACUCGGAGGAAGGUGGGGAUGAAGUCAAGUCAUCAUGCCCCUUAUGUCCAGGGCUGCACACAUGCUACAAUGGCCGGUACAAAGGGCUGCUAAGCCGCAAGGUGGAGCGAAUCCCAAAAAGCCGGUCUCAGUUCGGAUCGGGGUCUGCAACUCGACCCCGUGAAGUCGGAGUCGCUAGUAAUCGCAGAUCAGCAACGCUGCGGUGAAUACGUUCCCGGGC